UGGUGAACCCUGGGAGUGGCCCACACAGCACCUUCUUCGCAAGGCACUUCCUAUGGCCUCCCUUCCUCCAGUGACCUUCCAGACUGGUGAAUGUUAUUGAUGAAGUCAUUACGUAGCCCAGAAAGCCAGUCGAUAAUUCCCAGGGAUGUUGGUGAUCAGAGGGUGGCCUGGGAGAGGACAAUGAGAGGCUUCCACUGACUGCUGACCUGGAGAAGUGGUCCUGGAGUUCCAGGAGCCCAGGCUUGUGUGAUUAUAACAAAGGCAGAACCAGAGGUGAAUUUUAACAAUGCACCCAAUUGCCAGGGCAUUUGGAGUCAGUGAAGCAGGAUCCCAGAAACUGACCGGCACAGUGGAAGGCGUUCACGCUGCACCUCAGUGCCUGGGAGUAGGCACCCCACAAAUACUCCUUGAAAAAAUAAAACUUCGAUAUGUGGUCAAAUGUAGGGUCUGUAUUGCCCUGCCUGGCUCUAGAUACAACUUCUUCUUCUUACGUAGUCUGUUUGCAUGCACCAGCUAUAAAUAAACAUUUUCCUUGGUCCCC
ensembl:lncRNA novel transcript